rnacentral:rRNA from 1 species
CAGCAGCCGCCGCGGUAAUACAGAGGAUGCAAGCGUUAUCCGGAAUGAUUGGGCGUAAAGCGCACGUAGGCGGCUUUGUAAGUCAGAGGUGAAAGCCUGGAACUCAACUCCAGAACUGCCUUUGAGACUGCAUCGCUUGAAUCCAGGAGAGGUGAGUGGAAUUCCGAGUGUAGAGGUGAAAUUCGUAGAUAUUCGGAAGAACACCUGUGGCGAAGGCGGCUCACUGGACUGGUAUUGACGCUGAGGUGCGAAAGCGUGGGGAGCAAACAGGAUUAGAUACCCCGGUAGUCCCUGUCUCUUAUAC